rnacentral:rRNA from 1 species
GUUGUAAGGUUAAGCGACUAAGCGUACACGGUGGAUGCCCUGGCAGUCAGAGGCGAUGAAGGACGUGCUAAUCUGCGAUAAGCGUCGGUAAGGUGAUAUGAACCGUUAUAACCGGCGAUUUCCGAAUGGGGAAACCCAGUGUGUUUCGACACACUAUCAUUAACUGAAUCCAUAGGUUAAUGAGGCGAACCGGGGGAACUGAAACAUCUAAGUACCCCGAGGAAAAGAAAUCAACCGAGAUUCCCCCAGUAGCGGCGAGCGAACGGGGAGCAGCCCAGAGCCUGAAUCAGUGUGUGUGUUAGUGGAAGCGUCUGGAAAGGCGCGCGAUACAGGGUGACAGCCCCGUACACAAAAAUGCACAUGCUGUGAGCUCGAUGAGUAGGGCGGGACACGUGGUAUCCUGUCUGAAUAUGGGGGGACCAUCCUCCAAGGCUAAAUACUCCUGACUGACCGAUAGUGAACCAGUACCGUGAGGGAAAGGCGAAAAGAACCCCGGCGAGGGGAGUGAAAAAGAACCUGAAACCGUGUACGUACAAGCAGUGGGAGCACGCUUAGGCGUGUGACUGCGUACCUUUUGUAUAAUGGGUCAGCGACUUAUAUUCUGUAGCAAGGUUAACCGAAUAGGGGAGCCGAAGGGAAACCGAGUCUUAACUGGGCGUUAAGUUGCAGGGUAUAGACCCGAAACCCGGUGAUCUAGCCAUGGGCAGGUUGAAGGUUGGGUAACACUAACUGGAGGACCGAACCGACUAAUGUUGAAAAAUUAGCGGAUGACUUGUGGCUGGGGGUGAAAGGCCAAUCAAACCGGGAGAUAGCUGGUUCUCCCCGAAAGCUAUUUAGGUAGCGCCUCGUGAAUUCAUCUCCGGGGGUAGAGCACUGUUUCGGCAAGGGGGUCAUCCCGACUUACCAACCCGAUGCAAACUGCGAAUACCGGAGAAUGUUAUCACGGGAGACACACGGCGGGUGCUAACGUCCGUCGUGAAGAGGGAAACAACCCAGACCGCCAGCUAAGGUCCCAAAGUCAUGGUUAAGUGGGAAACGAUGUGGGAAGGCCCAGACAGCCAGGAUGUUGGCUUAGAAGCAGCCAUCAUUUAAAGAAAGCGUAAUAGCUCACUGGUCGAGUCGGCCUGCGCGGAAGAUGUAACGGGGCUAAACCAUGCACCGAAGCUGCGGCAGCGACGCUUAUGCGUUGUUGGGUAGGGGAGCGUUCUGUAAGCCUGCGAAGGUGUGCUGUGAGGCAUGCUGGAGGUAUCAGAAGUGCGAAUGCUGACAUAAGUAACGAUAAAGCGGGUGAAAAGCCCGCUCGCCGGAAGACCAAGGGUUCCUGUCCAACGUUAAUCGGGGCAGGGUGAGUCGACCCCUAAGGCGAGGCCGAAAGGCGUAGUCGAUGGGAAACAGGUUAAUAUUCCUGUACUUGGUGUUACUGCGAAGGGGGGACGGAGAAGGCUAUGUUGGCCGGGCGACGGUUGUCCCGGUUUAAGCGUGUAGGCUGGUUUUCCAGGCAAAUCCGGAAAAUCAAGGCUGAGGCGUGAUGACGAGGCACUACGGUGCUGAAGCAACAAAUGCCCUGCUUCCAGGAAAAGCCUCUAAGCAUCAGGUAACAUCAAAUCGUACCCCAAACCGACACAGGUGGUCAGGUAGAGAAUACCAAGGCGCUUGAGAGAACUCGGGUGAAGGAACUAGGCAAAAUGGUGCCGUAACUUCGGGAGAAGGCACGCUGAUAUGUAGGUGAAGCGACUUGCUCGUGGAGCUGAAAUCAGUCGAAGAUACCAGCUGGCUGCAACUGUUUAUUAAAAACACAGCACUGUGCAAACACGAAAGUGGACGUAUACGGUGUGACGCCUGCCCGGUGCCGGAAGGUUAAUUGAUGGGGUUAGCGCAAGCGAAGCUCUUGAUCGAAGCCCCGGUAAACGGCGGCCGUAACUAUAACGGUCCUAAGGUAGCGAAAUUCCUUGUCGGGUAAGUUCCGACCUGCACGAAUGGCGUAAUGAUGGCCAGGCUGUCUCCACCCGAGACUCAGUGAAAUUGAACUCGCUGUGAAGAUGCAGUGUACCCGCGGCAAGACGGAAAGACCCCGUGAACCUUUACUAUAGCUUGACACUGAACAUUGAGCCUUGAUGUGUAGGAUAGGUGGGAGGCUUUGAAGUGUGGACGCCAGUCUGCAUGGAGCCGACCUUGAAAUACCACCCUUUAAUGUUUGAUGUUCUAACGUUGACCCGUAAUCCGGGUUGCGGACAGUGUCUGGUGGGUAGUUUGACUGGGGCGGUCUCCUCCUAAAGAGUAACGGAGGAGCACGAAGGUUGGCUAAUCCUGGUCGGACAUCAGGAGGUUAGUGCAAUGGCAUAAGCCAGCUUGACUGCGAGCGUGACGGCGCGAGCAGGUGCGAAAGCAGGUCAUAGUGAUCCGGUGGUUCUGAAUGGAAGGGCCAUCGCUCAACGGAUAAAAGGUACUCCGGGGAUAACAGGCUGAUACCGCCCAAGAGUUCAUAUCGACGGCGGUGUUUGGCACCUCGAUGUCGGCUCAUCACAUCCUGGGGCUGAAGUAGGUCCCAAGGGUAUGGCUGUUCGCCAUUUAAAGUGGUACGCGAGCUGGGUUUAGAACGUCGUGAGACAGUUCGGUCCCUAUCUGCCGUGGGCGCUGGAGAACUGAGGGGGGCUGCUCCUAGUACGAGAGGACCGGAGUGGACGCAUCACUGGUGUUCGGGUUGUCAUGCCAAUGGCACUGCCCGGUAGCUAAAUGCGGAAGAGAUAAGUGCUGAAAGCAUCUAAGCACGAAACUUGCCCCGAGAUGAGUUCUCCCUGACUCCUUGAGAGUCCUGAAGGAACGUUGAAGACGACGACGUUGAUAGGCCGGGUGUGUAAGCGCAGCGAUGCGUUGAGCUAACCGGUACUAAUGAACCGUGAGGCUUAACCUUACAACGCCGAAGGUGUUU